CGGGGUGUAGCGCAGUCAGGUCAGCGUGCAUCGUUCGGGACGAUGAGGUCGGGAGUUCGAAUCUCCCCACCCCGACAA
rnacentral:tRNA from 1 species